UGUGGGGACGAAAGUCUCUGCUUUUAACUAGAUAGCAACUUUCAGCAGUGGAUGUCUAGGCUCGCACAUCGAUGAAGAACGCUGCGAACUGCGAUACGUAAUGCGAAUUGCAGGAUUCAGUGAGUCAUCGAAAUUUUGAACGCAUAUUGCACUUCCGGGUUA
rnacentral:rRNA from 1 species